GAUGAAGAACGCAGUGAAAUGCGAUAAGUAAUGUGAAUUGCAGAAUUCAGUGAACCAUCGAAUCUUUGAACGCACAUUGCGCCCGGCAGUAAUCUGCCGGGCAUGCCUGUCCGAGCGUCAUUUCUGCCCUCGAGCCUGUCCAGCAUCUAGGUGCUGUUCCGGCCCGGCGUUGGGGCACUACGGGAAGCCUCGUGCUAUCCCCCGUAGGCCCCGAAAUGAAGUGGCGGUCCUGCCGCGGCUCCCCCUGCGUAGUAUUACAGCUCGCUUCGGGACCCGGUGGAGGCCUGCCGUCAAACCUUACUCUCUAAGUUUGACCUCGGAUCAGGUAGGGUUACCCGCUGAACUUAAGCAUAUCAAUAAGCGGAGGA
rnacentral:misc_RNA from 1 species